UACGUAGGGUGCAAGCGUUGUCCGGAAUUAUUGGGCGUAAAGAGCUCGUAGGCUGUCUGUUGCGUCGGCUGUGAAAACCCGGGGCUCAACCCCGGGCCUGCAGCCGAUACGGGCAGACUAGAGUUCGGCAGGGGAGACUGGAAUUCCUGGUGUAGCGGUGAAAUGCGCAGAUAUCAGGAGGAACACCGGUGGCGAAGGCGGGUCUCUGGGCCGAUACUGACGCUGAGGAGCGAAAGCGUGGGGAGCGAACAGG
rnacentral:rRNA from 1 species